AACUGCCGCCACGCCCCUGACGACCGCCUCUGCUACGCCCCCAAGCAAGGCUCUCCCAGUGUCCAUUGGAUCACCCAGCCGCCACUCUAUUUGUUCAUCGCGCUUGUUGCGUCUAUAUGGUGGCCCAUUGGUCAGUAGGACUGCUCCUCAAGGUGGAGGCGGAGAUUCUUAGCGGGCAAUUCUCCUAUAAUUGGUUACUUUUGAUGUCUUUAGCCAGUGGGCCUAGAUGCUAUUGGGUAAGGUCCUCCCCGAGGGGCGGGAUAAGGGGAGCCGGCUAAAGGAUGGGUUAUGUUUGAUGGUUGAUGAUACGGAGUAGAGGAGAGGGCCUAUUGUGAUGGCUUUCUGAGUUCUGGGGCAGAAAGGUCCGGAGUCUUAUAGAGAUGAACUGGGGAAAGAGAUAGCCCAGCCGUGGGGUUCUCAGCACUGGUGUGCCCAGGAAGAUGAACCUGUAGCUCAGGACGUAGGUGUUUGAAGUGUGGAGUCCUAACUUAGUAGAGCAGAGGUGCUUUUAACCAGCCCUUGUGGUUGGAGGCCACUUGGAAGAAGUGACCUUUGAAGUCAGACUGCAGUCUUGGCCGUGCCUUUUAGCCUUUUAGAGUUCUCACUGACUAUAUUUGACUGGGUUCUACCAUUCUGUGAACCUGAGGCUCUGUUCGCAACGGCACGUGCCUGAUGGAGAGAAUACUGACAACCCGAAAGGGAGCUCCAGUGAGGCAGCCACCGACACACUGCCAAGGCACGCAGUGUGGCUCCAAGAGAAGAGGCAGGAGACAGAAGGAACACAUAGCCAGAGGAAGGAAUUUAGAUUUGAAGCAAUGUUAAAUUUUCUCUUAAUACAUUUCCGGACCCCGACAAGGAAAGCAUGAGCCAACUCAAGGAGGAGGAGCCAGCACCGGUCUCCUGUUUGUUAUUCCAGCAGGAAGCUGAGGCAGGAGGAUUGCUUUACUUUGAAGCUACAUAAUGAGUCCUCCUCUGUCACAAUGAGGCCUUGUCACAAACAAACAAAGCAAGGUAUGGGACACCCCAGAGUGUGGACGGAAAGACUCUUGGAACUGCAUUGAACCCCAGACCUUUCAAAGCACCCAUAACUGUGGGACAGUAGAGAGGAGGAGAGGCUCCAUUGCUCUUCGGUUUUCCCCCAGUUGUCAUGUUACCUCAAUAAAGUU
rnacentral:lncRNA from 1 species